GUAACACGUGAGUAACCUGCCCUUGACUUUGGGAUAACUUCAGGAAACUGGGGCUAAUACCGGAUAGGAGCUCCUGCUGCAUGGUGGGGGUUGGAAAGUUUCGGCGGUUGGGGAUGGACUCGCGGCUUAUCAGCUUGUUGGUGGGGUAGUGGCUUACCAAGGCUUUGACGGGUAGCCGGCCUGAGAGGGUGACCGGCCACAUUGGGACUGAGAUACGGCCCAG
rnacentral:rRNA from 1 species